rnacentral:lncRNA from 1 species
CGGAGGUGAUCGGCCAAGUCCCUCUUCUUCUCUAUCUUCUCCCUCUUAAUGUCCUGCUUCAAGCUUUCGAUGCUUUUUUUCAGGCAUCUUUGACAUUGACCUCAAGCUAAGACUUCUCCUCUUCAGCCUCAUUAGUCUUCUUGGAGACAGUCUUUGACUCAUCCUCAGCCGCCUUGCAUUCCUCUUUGGCCUUUUUUAACUUCUCUUCUAGAGUAGCCUUAGCUCGAUCAUGUUUGGCUCAAGCUUUUCAUAUGAAGACAAGUAAAUUUAUCAUCUACACGAAGAGCGCA